rnacentral:lncRNA from 1 species
GCCACAUUUUAUUAGUAAAGCAUAUAUAACAUUUAUAAAGCUUUAGAAAAUAUAAACAGAUACAGCAAGGCUCUGAUUAAACAAGGAGAGGAUUUUUUAAAAUACUGUCAUAAAGUGUUAUCAGCGUUGACGUCAACUGUAUUUCACAAGUCAGUAUAGCAAUUAGUCAGAGGUGGGAAAAGUACUCAAAUGUCAUACUUGAGUAAAAGUAAAGAUACCUUAAUAUAAAACGACUCAAGUAAAAGUGAAAGUAACCCAGUAAAAUACUACCUGAGUAAAAUUCUAAAAGUAUCCGAUUUACAGUGGUGUAAAAAGUACUCAGUUUUCAUACUUGAGUAAAAGUACAAAGUAAAAGUAAAUGCUAUACAUCAAAUUCCUUAUAUUUAUCAAACCAGACAGCAAAAUUUCAUUUUGUAUAACUUUUUUUGACAGCCAAGGGCACACUCCAACACUCAGACAUGAUUUACAAAGGAAGCAUUUGUGUUUAGUGAGUCCACCAGAUCCGAGAGUAGGGAUGACCAGGGACGUUCUCUUGAUAAGUGUGUGAAUUGGACCUUUUUCCUGUCCUGCUAAGCAUUCCAAUUGUAACUAGUACUUUUGGGUGUCAGGCAGUAAAAAGGAUACAAUUUUCUUUAGGAAUGUAGUGAAGUAAAAAUAAAAGUUGUCAAAAAUAUAAAUAGUAAAGUAAAGUACAGAUUAGAGGUCGACCUCUAGUACAGAUACCCCAAAAAACUACUUAAGUAGUACUUUAAAGUAUUUUAACUUAAGUACUUUACACCACUGGAAAUUAGUAGACCUCAUUAAAAACAAUAAAACACUGGUAAAUGAAUACAGUCUAUUAAAAUACAAUAAUAACUAGUGAUAAAAGCAUAUGGCAGUUUAAAGGCCCAGUGCAGUCCAGUGGCGUAGCUAAACAUUUGUUGAUGGGUGGGCCUGCAGAAAUUUGGGUGUCCCCCCAAAUAAUGUUCAGUUAUAUAGCUGAUCUCAUGCUAUAUUACACAUUUUGCCAUGAGGCUUAGAGAAAAUGUUGCUGUUUUAAAGCUCGUCACAUGCUAUUCUACACAUUUUGCCAUGAGGCUGAGAGAACAUUUUGCAUUUUUAAAGCUAAUUAAAUAAAAAAUAUAGGUGUGUUGACUGUGAUAAGGGCACUGGAUUAAUAUGUUGUCUUGUUUGCUAAAUUAACAAAUGAAGUAGGCAGUGGCAUGGUGCAUAUACAGUUCAUUCGGAAAGUGUUCAGACCCCUUCCCUUUUUCAACAUUUUUACGUUACAGCCAUCUUCACAAUUAUUUUAUUUUUUUAUCCUCGGCAAACUACAGACAAUACCUCAUAAAGACAAAGCGAAAAAAACAUUUUGUUUUUGCAAAUGUAUUAAAAAUAAAAAACAGAAAUACCUUAUUUACAUAAAUAUUCAGACCCUUUGCUUUGAGAGUUGAAAUUGAGCUCAGGUGCAUCCUGUUUCCAUUAGUCAUCCUUGAGAUGUUUCUAAAACUUGAUUGGAGUCCACCAGUGGUAAAUUCAAUUGAUUGGACAUGAUUUGGAAAGGCACACACCUGUCUAUAUAAGGUCCCACAGUUGACUGUGCAUGUCAUAGAAAAAUCCAAGCAAUGAGGUCGAAGGAAUUGUCUGUAGAGUUCCGAGACAGGAUUGUGUCAAGGCACAGAUCUGGUGAAGGGUACCAAAUAAAUUAUGCAGCAUUGAAUGUCCCCAAGAACACAGUGGCCUCCAUAAUUAAUUUAAUAGAAGAAGUUUGGAACCACCAAGACUCUUCCUAGAGCUGGCCACCUGACCAAAAUGAGCAAUCGGGGGAGAAGGGCCUUGGUCAGGGAGGUGACUAAGAACCAGAUGGACACUGACAGAGAUCCAGAGUUCCUCUGUGGAGAUGGAGCAGAACAAUAAGGUCUUUAUGCAUGCUCAGAGAGAACAGAACACUAGGUUACAUGAUGUGGAAAUACAGAUUUGACUUCCACUUUGUAUUUUUUCAUGGUAUUUUCCAAUUGUCUAUCUACCAUUCAACAUGUAUCUACACUGAACAAAAAUAUAAACACAACAUGUAGCAAUUUUACUGAGUUACAGUUCAUAUAAGGAAAGCGUUCGAUUGAAAUAAAUUCAUUAGACCCUAAUCUAUGGAUUUCACAUGACUGGGAAUACAGAUAUGCAUCUGUUGGUCACAGAUACUGUAAUGUUCAGGCAUGACAGUGCAGGAAGACCGAUAAUUGUGUACGACAACACCAACCUAAUAUGACACCACAUGGUGGAUCAAUAGUACUACAGUCAAUACAGUGCAUCAGAAGCAACGCAACAACCAGCCAGCUGCCAACAAGCACACACAAAGGGCUAAAGCAAACAACCAAUGCAGGAAUUGUGGAGGCAAAUACCCACAUUAUGGAGACUGUCCAGUGAAAGGAAAAGAGUGCAAAGCUUGUGGGAAACAAAAUCCUUUGCAAAGCAGUGCAGCUCAAAACCAAAGCAGGAGCAACACAUGGAUACCAGAGCCAUUGCUAAAGACCGAUCAACCAAGUAGGUGAAACACAUAGAGGAGGUGGGAGGCCAAACUCAACAAGCAGUGAUGAUGCCAAGGUGUUUGUAGUUAAGUGACAAAAGCCUUAAACAGCCACAGACACAUUCAGCUAAAUGGUGUCAGAGUAGGAGUUCUGAUAGACUAGAGUAGAGUAGCAUAUCUGAUAGACUAUAGUGGAGUAGCAGUUCUGAUAGACUAGAGUAGAGUAGCAGUUCUGAUAGACUAUAGUGGAGUAGCAGCUCUGAUAGUGUAGAGUAGAGUAACAGUUCUGAUAGUCUAGAGUAGCAGUUCUGAUAGACUAGAGUAGAGUAGCAGUUCUGAUAGACUAGAGUAUAGUAACAGUUCUGAUAGACUAGAGUAGAGUAGAGGUUCUGAUAGGCUAGAGUAGAGUAGGGUAACAGUUCUGAUAGAGUAGAGUAGCAGUUAUGAUAGACUAGAGUAGAGUAGAGGUUCUGAAAGACUAGAGUAGAGUAGAGGUUCUGAUAGACUAGAGUAGAGUAGAGUAACAGUUCUGAUAGACUAGAGUAGAGUAACAGUUCUGAUAGACUAGGGUAGAGUAACAGUUCUGAUAGACUAGAGUAGAGUAGAGUAGCUGCUCUGAUAGACUAGAGUAGAGUAGAGGUUCUGAUAGACUAGAGUAGAGUAGAGGUUCUGAUAGACUAGAGUAGAGUAACAGUUCUGAUAGACUAGAGUAGAGUAGAGAUUCUGAUAGGCUAGAGUAGAGUAGAGUAAGAGUUCUGAUAGAGUAGAGUAGCAGUUAUGAUAGAGUAGAGUAGAGGUUCUGAAAGAGUAGAGUAGACGUUCUGAUAGACUAGAGUAGAGUAGCCGUUCUGAUAGACUAGAGUAGAGUAGCAUUUCUGAUAGAGUAGAGUAGUGUAGCAGUUCUGAUAGACUAGAGUAGAGUAGAAGUUCUGAUAUAGUAGAGUUGAAGUUCUGAAAUGUUAGAGUAGAGUAGCAGAUCUGAUAGACCGGAAGAAGAGUAGAAGUUCUGAUAGACUAAAGAAGCAGUUCUUAUAGACUAGAUUAGCAGCUCUGAUAGAGUAGAGUAGAGUAGCAUAUCUGAUAGACUAGUGUAGAGCAGCAGCUCUGAUAGACUAGAGUAGAGUUGAAGUUCUGAUUGACUAGAGUAAAGGAGCAGUUCUGAUAGACUAGAAUAGAGAAGCAGUUAUGAUAUACUAGAGUAGAGUAGAGGUUCUGAUAGACUAGAGUAGAGUCGAGUAGAAUUUCUGAUGGAGUAGAGAAGAAGUUCCGAUAGACUAGAGUAGAGUAGCAGAUCUGACAGACAGGAGUAGAUGUUCUGAUAUAGUAGAGUAGACAAUCUGAUAGAGUAGAAUAUCUGAUAGACUACAGUGGAAGUUUUGAUAGAGUAGAGUAACAGUUCUGAAGGAAAAGAGUAGAGUAACAGUUCUGAUAGACUAGAGUAGAGUAACAGUUCUGAUAGACUAGAGUAGAGUAGAGUAGCUGCUCUGAUAGACUAGAGUAGAGUAGAGGUUCUGAUAGACUAGAGAAGAGUAACAGUUCUGAUUGACUAGAGUAGAGUAGAGUAGCUGCUCUGAUAGACUAGAGUAGAGUAGAGGUUCUGAUAGACUAGAGUAGAGUAGAGGUUCUGAUAGAGUAGAGUAGAGUUUCUGAUAGACUAGAGUAGAGUAAAAGUUCAGAUACACUAGAGUAGAGUAGAGGUUCUGAUAGACUAGAGUAGAGUAGAGGUUCUGAUAGGCUAGAGUAGAGUAAAGUAACAGUUCUGAUAGACUAGAGUAUAGUAGAGGUUCUGAUAGUCUAGAGUAGAGUAACAGUUCUGACAGACUAGAGUAGAGGUUCUGAUAGACUAGAGUAGAGGUUCUGAUAGACUAGAGUAGAGUAGAGGUUCUGAUAGAGUAGAGUAGCAGUUAUGAUAGACUAGAGUAGAGUAAAGGUUCUAAAAGACUAGAGUAGAGUAGAGUAGACGUUCUGAUAGACUAGAGUAGAGUAGAAGUUCUUAUAGACUAGAGUAGAGUAACAGUUCUGAUAGACUUGAGUAGAGUAGCAGUUCUGAUAGAGUAGAGUAGUGUAGCAGUUCUGAUAGACUAGAGUAGAGUAGAGUAGCAGUUAUGAUAGACCAGAGUAUAGUAGAGUUUCUGAAAGACUAGAGUAGAGUAGAGUAGACAUUCUGAUAGACUAGAGUAGAGUAGAAGUUCUGAUAGACUAGAGUAGAGUAACAGUUCUGAUAGACUUGAGUAGAGUAGCAGUUCUGAUAGACUAGAGUAGAGUAACAGUUCUGACAUGUUAGAGUAGAGUAGCAGAUAUGAUAGACCGGAGUAGAGUAGAAGUUCUGAUAGACUAAAGUAGCAAUUCUGAUAGACUAGAGUAGCAGCUCUGAUAGAGUAGAGUAGAAGAUCUGAUAGACAGGUGUAGCAGUUCUGAUAUGGUAGAGUAGACAAUCUGAUAGAGUAGAAUACCUGAUAGACUACAGUGGAAGUUUUAGAGUAGAGUAGAGGUUCUGAUAGACUAGAGUUGAGUUGAGGUUCUGAUAGACUAGAGUAGAGUAGAGGUUCUGAUAGACUAGAGUUGAGUAGAGUAAGAGUUCUGAUAGAGUAGAGUAGCAGUUCUGAUAGACUAGAGUAGAGUAACAGUUCUGAUAGACUUGAGUAGAGUAGCAGUUCUGAUAGAGUAGAGUGGUGUAGCAUUUCUGAUAGACUAGAGUAGAGUAGCCGUUCUGAUAGACAAGAGUCGAGUAGACGUUCUGAUAGACUAGAGUAGAGUAGCAGCUCUGAUAGACUAGAGUAGAGUUGAGGUUCUGAUAGACUAGAGUAGAGUAGAGGUUCUGAUAGACUAGAGUAGAGUAGAGUAACAGUUCUGAUAGAGUAGAGUAGCAGUACUGAUAGACUAGAGUAGAGUAGCCAUUCUGAUAGACAAG